UCGCAGCGCAGCCGCGUUGCACUAUUCACGUUCAACGUUUGACCGUUCGUCUUAUUUGAAAAAAUUUUAUGAUUAAUAUUUUUAUUGCUAUUAGAUGAUAAAACAUGAAUAGUAUUUUAUGUGUGACUAAAUAUUUUUAAAUUUUUCAUAAAUUUUUCAAAUAAGACGGACGGUCAAACGUUGGAUACGGAUAUCCACGGCUGCACUUAGU
rfam:Oryza nivara chromosome 6, whole genome shotgun sequence.